GCUUCCUUUGGCAGCACCCACACCAAUAUUAAAACACAGAGAAGCUUAGCGUUGCCCCUGCAGAAGGAUGCAAGUGCAAAUUGAGGAAGCGGUCCAUAUCUAU